rnacentral:lncRNA from 1 species
CACCGAUCACCACUGCUACACGAAGAUGAAGCUAGCUCCCCACGAACACUUCAACGUGUUAGCAGCUAAAUGCAUGGCUAUUAAAGGCAACUUGGACUGUUGCAAUUUCCAACUUCAACCUCUUCACGUCUCUGCAAUCAUAAGAGUUACGCCAAUAAGAAGAAUAAUCUUUAAUUCUUUCUUGUUUUUUAUUUUAUUUUCUUUCUUCAAGUUGGGAGAAAAUCCAUCCAUUUGUAAGGCAUCUCAGCUUGAAUGACAAUGAUAGCUUAAUGUCAGUGGUUGAAACCACGGUCAGUAUGUUACUAGGCUAAAAGGGU